rnacentral:rRNA from 1 species
GAGGCAGCAGUGAGGAUAUUGCGCAAUGAGCGAAAGUAGACGCAGCAACGCCGCGUGGACGAUGAAGGCCUUCGGGUCGUAAAGUCCUUUUCAGAGGGACGAGUGAGGACGGUACCUCUGGAAUAAGUCACGGCUAACUACGUGCCAGCAGCCGCGGUAAAACGUAGGUGGCGAGCGUUAUCCGGAUUCACUGGGCGUAAAGCGCCUGCAGGCGGUCUUGUAAGUGGGAUGUGAAAUCUCCUGGCUUAACUGGGAGGGGCCAUUCCAUACUGCGAGGCUUGAGGGCAGAAGAGGGAAGCGGAAUUCCCGGUGUAGUGGUGAAAUGCGUAGAUAUCGGGAGGAACACCAGUGGCGAAGGCGGCUUCCUGGCCUGCUCCUGACGCUAAGAGGCGAAAGCUAGGGGGAGCGAACGGGAUUAGAAACCCCGGUAGUCCUAGCCAUAAACGAUGGAUACUGGGUGUCGGUGGUCCUAACCCCAUCGGUGCCGAAGCUAACGCGUUAAGUAUCCCGCCUGGGGACUACGGCCGCAAGGUUAAAACUCAAAGGAAUUGACGG